AACCCUUGAAACGCCCCGAACCCCAAUUCCAAGAAAAUGGAGAAAACCUUCACACUCCUUCAUACAAUUGUCACUGCAACUGUCUUCUCUGCUGUUUCCGGAUGGUACGGAUUCAUGUUCGGAAGAGAAUCUGCUCGCAAAGAACUCGGAAGUUUGAUCGAAGACCUUCGCCGCCAGAAUCCCAACUCCGAUCCGCCACAUUCACCUCCGCCUCCACAUGCUUGAAGUUGAAUUGAUUUGGGGUGCUUGGAUCAAGGUUGAUGGCAUCAAGUGGGCAGUGAGAAAAACCACCUUCAUCCAUAUAGCUUGGGACUGAGAAAAGAAAUGUCUUCAGGGCUUUCACAAAACGCUCUUCUGUGGGGGGCAUAUUUGACCAUGUUCUGAAGUCUUCUAACAUUAUCCUUGAUGGUGGAAUGUGCCGUCUUGUAGAGUUCAAAUAACAUUCGAUCCUUUUGUAUGUUGUGAGAUAGUUGUUGAAGUAUGAAUGAAUUUGGAUUGUUCUGUUUUCGAAGCCGUUUGUUUUACCUUUAUCAUUAAUGAAACUUGUUUUUCUUGUCAAAAGCAAGAAAUUGUUACGGUUCAUGCUAUUUGUCCUCGAAUUCGAAUUAAUGGAAAGCAUUCUCUGCAUUAACAAGGCAGUCUUACUUGGUUUUGAUCAGACUUUGGCUAACCAUCGUCAUGAUUUACUUAUGAACGUUGUUCUUUGCAUUUUUGAUGCAGUGUUUCCUUUAGUUUCAUCAAAAGCUAAAAUCAAGUUGCCCCAACGACCUCUCUAGCAGACAAAUUGGCUUCCACAUAUUGUUCUGGCAGUCAAACCGAGUGGCUAAGUGAUUGGGAUAAUUACCACAAUAACAUCGCCCAAGUAGUCAAUGAAUCUGUCGCGGAAGCUCCUCAUGUAAUCGGUGUAGACCUGAAUGGGAGUUCUUCCUCUGAGAACAGGCAAUGAAUCGCAUCCCAAGGAUAUGUACUCAGGAUUCCUCCUGCCUGAUUUGUCUGUGUAAACAAGGUCAGGAUUCUUGCUGAUUUCUUCAAGCACCCAUGGAGGUAGAGGAAUGCUGAAAAUUCAUAUAAUUGUGGUUUAGUGGAUCAGUGCAUAAAUCCACACUAGGUGGAGAUAGAUUAAAAACAUGACUAAUAAAUACACAGAAUUUCUCGA